rnacentral:rRNA from 1 species
UGCAGUCGAACGAUGAUCCCAGCUUGCUGGGGGAUUAGUGGCGAACGGGUGAGUAACACGUGAGUAACCUGCCCUUGACUCUGGGAUAAGCCUGGGAAACUGGGUCUAAUACCGGAUACGACCAUCUGGCGCAUGUCAUGGUGGUGGAAAGCUUUUGUGGUUUUGGAUGGACUCGCGGCCUAUCAGCUUGUUGGUGGGGUAAUGGCCUACCAAGGCGACGACGGGUAGCCGGCCUGAGAGGGUGACCGGCCACACUGGGACUGAGACACGGCCCAGACUCCUACGGGAGGCAGCAGUGGGGAAUAUUGCACAAUGGGCGCAAGCCUGAUGCAGCGACGCCGCGUGAGGGAUGACGGCCUUCGGGUUGUAAACCUCUUUCAGUAGGGAAGAAGCGUAAGUGACGGUACCUGCAGAAGAAGCGCCGGCUAACUACGUGCCAGCAGCCGCGGUAAUACGUAGGGCGCAAGCGUUAUCCGGAAUUAUUGGGCGUAAAGAGCUCGUAGGCGGUUUGUCGCGUCUGCUGUGAAAGACCGGGGCUCAACUCCGGUUCUGCAGUGGGUACGGGCAGACUAGAGUGCAGUAGGGGAGACUGGAAUUCCUGGUGUAGCGGUGAAAUGCGCAGAUAUCAGGAGGAACACCGAUGGCGAAGGCAGGUCUCUGGGCUGUAACUGACGCUGA